CUAGAGUCAUUGGGGCAAUAGAUGGAUGUCAUAUAAAAAUUCAAUCACAAGGUGGAGCUGAUGCUGAAAUAUAUCGAAACAGAAAGGGAUAUUUCUCUGUAAAUGUGCAAGCCGUUACAAGUGCUGACCUGUUAUUCCAAGAUAUCGUCGCACGUUGGCCAGGUUCGACGCACGAUACCACCAUUUUUAGAAAUUCACGAUUAAUGCAUAGAUUCAAUAAUGGAGACUUUGGAAAUAGUAUCUUGUUGGGAGAUAGCGGUUAUAUGAAUCUUUCAUAUCUAUUUACACCUUUUCUGAAUGUUCAGAACGAUGGUGAAAGAAACUACAACAGAAGUCACGUUCAAAGUAGAGUCAAGGUAGAAAAUCUAUUUGGUGUUUGGAAAAGAAGAUUUCCUAUAAUAGCGUAUGGAUGUAGAAUGAAGCUAGAAAAUGUACUUUGUGUUAUUGUGGCUACAGCAGUUUUGCACAAUUUGGCUCGUUUGAGGGGAGAACCAGAACCACCUAUUGAAAAUUUAAUUAUGGAACACGAGCUUCAGCAAGCAAUUCGAGAUGGAGAUAUUCCUUUAGCCGCCGAAGAAAAUGAUUUAGGCUAUGAUUAUAGAAGACAUUUAGUAGAUAUAUAUUUUUCUAGAUUGUAAUUUUCGUAUUUUGCAAGUUUAAAGAUAAAUUAUAUUACAUAUUAACAU